ACGCCAGUAGCUCAGUUCGGUAGAGCAGCGGAUUCCAAAUCCGCGGGUCGGGGGUUCGAGUCCCUCCUGGCGUG
rnacentral:tRNA from 1 species